rnacentral:lncRNA from 1 species
CCCAUUGCAGACUCAAAGGACCAGACUGACAAUGCAAUUCCAUGCGAUACCAACAAUGAUAUUGCUGACUAUGCAACAGUUGAGGAAAAACCUGAAGAAACAGUAGUUGAAGAAAAACAUGAAGAACCUGCAAUUGAAAAGAAAUUUGAAGAAUCAACAGUUAUGGAGAAACCUGAAGAACCAGCAGUGGAAGAAAAACCUGAAGAACCAACAGUUAAAGAGGAACCUGAAAAAUCAGUGAUGGAAGAGAAACCUGAAGAACCAAUUGUUGAGGAGAAACUUGAAGAACCAACUGUUGAAGAGAAACCUGAAAAAUCACUGAUUGAAGAAACACCUGAAGAACCAAUAUGGGAAGAAACACCUAAAGAACUAGCAUUUGAAGAGAAACCAGAAGAACCAGCAGUUGAAGAGGAGAAACCUGAAAAGGUAACUCUUUUGGAAGAGGUGAGUAUCAAGCAUUAGCACAUAGUUUAUCCAUCAUGUUAUUUCUGUAUGUGCAUCGAUUCACAUCUGCUUAUCUAUUGAAAGUCUAAAUGAGACUUUAAAUUCUUCUUGCAGAAUAUACCAGCUGUAGAUUUCAACGACAAGACUGACCGUGAAAUUCCAUGCGAUACCAACAAUGAUAUUGCUGACUAUGCAACAGUUGAGGAAAAACCUGAAGAACCGGUAGUUGAAGAAAAACAUGAAGAACCUGCAAUUGAAAAGAAAUUUGAAGAAUCAACGGUUAUGGAGAAACCUGAAAAACCAGUGGUUAAGGUACAACCUGAAGAACCAGCAGUGGAAGAAAAAGUUGAAGAACCAACAGUUAAUGAGGAACCUGAAAAAUCAGCGAUGGAAGAGAACCCUGAAGAAUCAAUUGUUGAGGAGAAACUUGAAGAACCAACUGUUGAAGAGAAACCUGAAAAAUCACUGAUUGAAGAAACACCUGAAGAACCAAUAUGGAAAGAAACACCUAAAGAACUAGCAUUUGAAGAGCAACCAGAAGAACCAGCAGUUGAAGAGGAGAAACCUGAAAAGGUAUCUCUUUUGGAAGAGGUGAGUAUCAAGCAUUAUCACAUAGUUUAUCCAUCCUGUUAUUUCUGUAUGUGCGACGAUUCACAUCUGCUUAUCUAUUGAAAGACUAAAUGAGACUUUAAAUUCUUCUUGCAGAAUAUGCCAGCUGUAGAUUUCAACGACAAGACUGACUGUGAAAUUCCAUGCAAUACCAACAAUGAUGUUGCUGAAUAUGUAGCAAUUGAGGAAAACCUUGAAGAACCAGCAGUUGAAGAAAAACAUGAAGAACCAACAGUUGAGGAGAAACCUGAAGAACUAGCAGUUGAAGAGAAACCCGAAAAACCAACAAUUGAGGAGAAACAUGAAGAACCAAUAGUUGAGAAGAAACCUGAAGAACCAGUAGUUGAGGAGAAACCAGAAGAACCACUAAUUGAAGAGGAGAAAUCUGAAAGGGUAACUUUCCUAGAAAAGGUGAGGAUCAAGCAUUGUCAAAAGGUUUAUCCAUCUUAUUAGUUGUGUAUGUGCGACGAUUCACAUCUGCUUACUUAUUGAAAGACUAAGUGAAACUUCAAAAUUCUUGCAGAGUAUGCUAGUUGUAGACUCGAACGACAAGACUGACAGUGAAAUUCCAUGCAAUACCAACAAAGAUGCUGCCCACUUUCCCGAAGUUGAGGCAAACCCUGAAGAACCAGCAGUUGAAGGAAAACCUAAAGAACCCGUUGAUGAAGAGAAACCAGAUGUACCAGUGGUUGAGAAACCUGAAAAACAAAUGGUUGAGGAGAAACUUGAAGAACCAAUGAUUGAGGAGAAAUCUGACGAACUAGUCGAGGAGAAAUCUCAACAACCAGCGGCUGAAAAGAAACCUGAAGAACCAGCAGCUAAAGAAUCACUUAAAGAGCUAGCAGGGGAGGAAACAACUGAAGAACUAGCACUUGAAGAGAAACUUAGAGAACCAACAGUUGAAGAACUAGUUCUUGAAGAUAAACCUGAAAACCCAGAAAAUGAAGAGGAUAAACUUGAAACAGUAACUCUCCAGGAAAAGGUAAGAAACAAGCAGUGUCACAGAGUUUAUCCAUCCUAUUAGCUCUACAUAUGCAAUGAAUUCACAUCUGUUUAUCCACUGAAAGACUAAGUGAAACUUUAAAUUUUUCUUGCAGAAUUUACCAAUUGCAGACUCAAACGACAAGACUGACAAUGCAACUCCCUGCAAUAACAACAAUGAUAUUGCUGACUCUGCAGCAGUUAAGGAAAAAACUGAAGAACCAGUAGUUGAGGAAAAACAUGAAGAACCGGCAACUGAAGAGAAAUCUGAAGAAUCAGAAUUUAUGAAAAAAACUGAAGAACCAGCGGUUGAGGUAAAACCUGAAGAACCAUCAGUGGAAGAGAAGCCUGAAGAACCAGCGGUUAGGAAAAAUCCUGAAGAACCAGCAGUUAAUGAGGAACCUGCAAAAUCAGCAACGGAAGAGAAACCUGAAGAACCAAUUGCUGAGGAGAAACUUGAAGAACCAACUCUUAAAGAGAAACCUGGAAAACCAGUAAUUGAAGAAACACCUGAAGAACCAACACUGGAAGUAACACCUAAAGAACAAGCAGAGAAACCUGAAGAACCAGUUGAAGAGGAAAAAACUGACAAGGUAACUCUUUUGGAAAAGGUGAGCAUCAAACACUGUCACAAAUUUUUGCCAUCAUAUUAGUUCUGUAUGUGCAACAAUUCACAUCUAAUUAUCCAUUGAAAGACUAAGUGAAACUUUAAUUCUUCUUGCAGAAUAUACCAGUUGUAGAUUUCAAUGAUACGACUGACAGUGAAAUUCCAUGCAAUACCAACGACGAUGUUGCUGAAGACGUAGCAGUUGAGGAAAACCUUGAAGAACCAUCAGUUGAGGAGAAACCUGAAGAAUUAGCGGUUGAAGAGAAACCUGAAAAACCAGCAAUUGAGGAGAAACGUGAAGAACCAAUAAUUGAGAAGAAACCUAAAGAACCAGCAGUUGAGGAGAAACCUGAAGAACAAACCGUUGAAGAGAGACUUGAAGAACCAACAAUUGAAGAUGAGAAACUUGAAGAACCAACAAAUGAAGAUGAGAAACUUGAAAGGGUAACUCUCCUAGGAAAGGUGAGGAUCUAGCACUGUCACAAAGUUUGUCCAUCCUAAUAGUUUUAUACGUGCAAGACUUUCAGAUCUGCUUAUUGAAAAACUAAAUGAAACUUUAAAUUCUUCUUACAGAAUAUGCAAGUUGUAGACUCCAUCGACAAGACUGACUGUGAAAUUCCAUGCAACACCAACAAUGAUGUUGCUUACCAUCCAGCAGUUGAGGAAAAUCUAGAAAAAACAGCAAUUGUGGAAACAACUGAUGAACCAGUGGUUGAAGAGAAACCUGAUGUACCAGCGAUUAAGGAGAAACCUGAAGUACCAAAUAUUGAGCAGAAACUUGAAGAGUUAGCAGGAGAGGAAACACAUGAAGAACUAGCAGUUGAAGAGAAACUAGAAGAACCAAUUACUGAAGAGACACCUGCAGAACUAGUUAUAGAAGAGAAACCUGAAAACCCAGCAGUUGAAGAGGAGAAACCUGAAACAGACGCUCUCCAAACGAAGGUCAGGAUUAAACAUUGUCACAAAAUUUAUCCAUCCUAUUAGCUUUAUAUGUGCAAGGAACUCACAUAUGCUAAUCUAUUGAAAGACUAAGUCAAACUUUAAAUUUUUCUUGCAGAAUAUGCCAAUUGUAGACUCAAAGGACAAGAUUGACAUUGAAAGUCCAGGCAAUAUCAACAAUGAUGGUGCUGACUAUCCAGAAGUUGAAGAUAAACCUGAAGAACUAGCAGUUGAAGAAAAACAUGAAGAACAAGCAAUUGAAGAGAAGCCUGAAGAACCAGCAAUUAAGGAAAAAGCUGAUGAACCAGCAGUGCAAGAAAAACUUGAAGAACCAGCUGUGGAAAAGAAACCUGAAGAACCAGUGGCUACGGAGAAACCUGAAGAACCAGCAAUUAAGGAAAAAGCUGAUGAACCAGCAGCGCAGGAGAAACCUGAAGAACCAGCUGUGGGAAAGAAACCUGAAGAACCAGUGGCUACGGAGAAACCUAAAGAACCAGCAAUUAAGGAAAAAGCUGAUGAACCAGCAGUGCAAGAGAAACCUGAAGAACCAGCUGUGGAAAAGAUACCUGAAGAACCAGCAGUCGAGGAGAAAUUUGACGAACCAGCAGUUGGAGAGAAAUCAGAAGAACCAGUAGUUGAACAAACACCUGCAGGACCAGCAUGGGAAGAAACACCUAAAGAACUAGCAUUUGAAGAGAAACCUGAAGAACCAGCAGUUGAAGAAACACCUGAAGAACCAGCAGUUGAAGAAACACCUGAAGAACUAGCAGUUGAAAAGAACCCUGAAAAAACAGCAGUCGGAGAGAAACAUGAAAAAGUAACUCUCUUGGAAAAGGUGAGGAUCAAGCACAAUCACAAAUUUUAUCCAUCCUAUUAGUUAUGUAUGUGCAACAAUUCACAUCCGCCUGGUGGAAGAUUAAGUUAAACUUUAAUUCUUCUUGCAGAAUAUACCAAUUAUAGAGUUAAACGAGAAGAAUGACAGCUCAACUCCUUGCAAUACCAACAAUGAUGUUGCUGACUAUCUAGCAGUUGAGGAAAAACCUGAAGAACCAGCCAUUGAGAAAAAACCUGAAGAACCAAUGGCUAAGGAGAAACUUGAAGAACCGAAUGUUGAGGAUAAACCUGAAAAAUCAGUGAUAGAGGAGAAAUCUGAAAAACUAGCAACUGAAGACAUACUUGAAGAGCGAGCAGGGGAGGAAACACCUGAAGCACUAGCAGUUGAAGAGAAACCUGACGAAUCAGCAGUUGAAGAGACAGUUGAAGAACUAGCUAUUGAACAGAAAUCUAAAAAAACAGCAACUGAAAAAGAGAAACCUGAAGCCGUAACUCUCCUGGAAAAGGUGAUCAACCACUGUCACAGGGAUUCCUUGCUCUAUAUGUGCAAGGAAUUUACAUCUACUUAUCUAUUGAAAGAUUUAGUGAAACUUUAAAUUCUUCUUGCAGAAUAUGCCAGUUGUAGAUACAAAGGACGAGAUUAACAGUGAAAUUCCAUGCAAUGCCAGCAAUGAUGUUUCUGACUAUCCAGCAGUUGAGGCAAAACCUGAAGAACUAUCCGUUGAAAAAAAAUAUGAAGAACCACCAGCAGUUAUAUUGGAGAAACCUGCAGAACUAGCAGUUGAGGAGACACCUGAAAAAACACUAGUUGAAGAGAAGCCUGAAAACCCAGCAGCACGGGAAGAAACACUUGAAGAACCAGCAUUGGAAGAAACACCUGAAGAACCAACAGUUGAAGAGAAACCUGAAGAAGUAGUAGUUGAAGAAAAACUUGAUAAACCAGCAACUGAAAAAGAGAAACCUGAAAAGGUAACUUUC